rnacentral:misc_RNA from 1 species
CAUACAGUACCUGAACUCCUUGUAACGUUCAAAAGAAUCCAGAGCCCAACCCUUAUUCCUAUCAGCUGCCAUAACAGAAAAUGAAACCAAACAAGACAAAAACCCAAAAAUCCUAAAACCUAAACCCGCUUUCUUUACCAUUGCAUCCCUCCUCACUUUUCUUAAAAUCGACAACUGUGGCUUUCCUCUCUGCCGACGGUUGCCGCUGUCUUCACCUUCCUUAAUACUAGCUGUACCAUCUCCGACAAACAGAUCCGCUUUCACCAAAGCCAGUGGCUCCUCCUUGAUAAACUUCUUCACCACCGCUUCCGGUAUUGGAGGUUUUUCCGGCGG